UGGCAUUUGAGAUAAAAAGUCAUCUUAAAUAUCUUUCAAAGCAAGUACACUUAACUGAGUACAUUUGUACCAAUAACAAUUAAGAUAACCGUUACUAAAAAAUGGAAAAAUAAAUAAUCUUCAUUUUGCAUUAGCUAUCACUCACAUUUGUCUGCACACAUAUUGUCGUGCAGCUUGACACAGCCUAAUACACAGAACUGCUUGCUACAGAAGAAAGUCUCAAACCAGAAACUGACUUGACUUUUGCAAAGUACAUUUGUGAGGCUAUUCACUUGUCCCAAAACCCCCAGGCUGGAGACAAACCUUAGAGUAAAAAACUGUCAAUUCCCCCACCCCUCCGGAUAAAUUUUUGUUAAAAAGUGCUCUAAACCCCCACUUUUAACACCCCACUUCCCCGGGACCAUGGGGGUGGGGGUUUCAAAUGACAAAGUGCAUAAUUAAAAAUUUUAAUUUACUUGAAAGAUCACUCAAAUAUUGAUUGACAAUUUUUUUUUUGAUAUACAACUCUUGCACAUUUUUAUAUAUCGUUCGAGAAACUCGUUCAAACAGCUCCGGAAGAACUUUCUGGAUCCAAUGUACGAAAGCUGAUGAAACUCUGGGUAGGAUUUUGUGCGAUUUCGGUUUGCAGGGACACUAUCCAAAAACCUCAAACUCACCGAUACGGAGGGUACAAAAUGCAGGUCGGGUGAUUUUAUAGUUUUUGUAGCUAUUGCGCAUGUUCGAGUAGAUGCUAUGUCAUCACGUCGAAAAAAAAAAAAAAAGAAAGAAUCAAGAUUUGCCGCGGUGUUUGCUGGGAAAAUUUGACUUCGGGAUAUGAUCGUUACGAAGCGCCAGCCUAGAAUCACUUUAUAAA